UCUACGGGUGGCAGCAGUGGGGAAUAUUGGACAAUGGGCGAAAGCCUGAUCCAGCCAUGCCGCGUGUGUGAAGAAGGCCUUCGGGUUGUAAAGCACUUUCAGUGGGGAAGAAAGCCUUGGGGCUAAUACCCUCGAGGAAGGACAUCACCCACAGAAGAAGCACCGGCUAACUCCGUGCCAGCAGCCGCGGUAAUACGGAGGGUGCGAGCGUUAAUCGGAAUUACUGGGCGUAAAGCGCGCGUAGGCGGUCUGAUAAGCCGGUUGUGAAAGUCCCGGGCUCAACCUGGGAACGGCAUCCGGAACUGUCAGGCUAGAGUGCAGGAGAGGAAGGUAGAAUUCCCGGUGUAGCGGUGAAAUGCGUAGAGAUCGGGAGGAAUACCAGUGGCGAAGGCGGCCUUCUGGACUGACACUGACGCUGAGGUGCGAAAGCGUGGGUAGCAAACAGGAUUAGAUACCCCUGUAGUC
rnacentral:rRNA from 1 species